rnacentral:lncRNA from 1 species
AUCUAGUUAGCCUCCUCAACGCAGCGGAUUCCGGCAACCCUUCUCUCCUUUCUUUCGUUUCUGGCGUACGCAGAAGGCGCAGGAGAGCCGCGACAUCCUUCGAUCGGAAAGUCGCGUUGAGCCUCCUGCUCCUUGAUUUUCCGGCGACACCAGCCUCUCUCUUUCGACGACGAAGCUUGGGUCUCCCUUUUUGCUCCCUCCUUUCCCGUUCCGGCUGACACAGCAAGCUAGCGGAGCUGCGAUCAUGGUUUGCGAUCUGGACAAGCGCUAUCUGCUUUCCUUUUUGAAUUUCCGGCAAGUAGAGUAAGUUAUUUUC